rnacentral:rRNA from 1 species
GACGAACGCUGGCGGCGUGCUUAACACAUGCAAGUCGAACGAUGAACCCGGAGCUUGCUCUGGGGGAUUAGUGGCGAACGGGUGAGUAACACGUGAGUAACCUGCCCUGGACUCUGGGAUAAGCGUUGGAAACGACGUCUAAUACCGGAUAGGACCUUGGAUCGCAUGAUCUGGGGUGGAAAGUUUUUUCGGUCUGGGAUGGACUCGCGGCCUAUCAGCUUGUUGGUGAGGUAAUGGCUCACCAAGGCGUCGACGGGUAGCCGGCCUGAGAGGGUGACCGGCCACACUGGGACUGAGACACGGCCCAGAGUCCUACGGGAGGCAUCAGUGGGGAAUAUUGCACAAUGGUCGAAUGCCUGAUGCAGCAACGACGCGUGCGGGAUGACGACCUUCGGGUUGUAAAGCGCUUUUAGUAGGGAAGAAGGGCUUCGGCUUGACGGUACCUGCAGAAAAAGGACCGGCUAACUACGUG